rnacentral:rRNA from 1 species
CAGUCGCCACGUAAUACGGAGGGUGCAAGCGUUAAUCGGAAUUACUGGGCGUAAAGCGCACGCAGGCGGUCUGACAAGUCAGAUGUGAAAUCCCCGGGCUUAACCUGGGAACUGCAUUUGAAACUGUCAGGCUGGAGUCUUGUAGAGGGGGGUAGAAUUCCAGGUGUAGCGGUGAAAUGCGUAGAGAUCUGGAGGAAUACCGGUGGCGAAGGCGGCCCCCUGGACAAAGACUGACGCUCAGGUGCGAAAGCGUGGGGAGCAAACAGGAUUAGAUACCCGGGUAGUCCCUGUCUCUUAUACA